UCUGCCUGGGAGCGUGGGAUAACCUGGGGAAACUCGGGCUAAUACCGCGUACGUUGGUGGGACUACGGUUCUGUCAAGAAAGCUGGCCUCUGUUUACAAGCUAGCGCUCCCAGAGGAGCCCGCGGCUGAUUAGCUAGUUGGUGAGGUAAUGGCUCACCAAGGCUUCGAUCAGUAGCCGGCCUGAGAGGGUGAUCGGCCACACUGGGACUGAGACACGGCCCAG
rnacentral:rRNA from 1 species